rnacentral:tRNA from 1 species
GCCGGUGUAGCUCAAUUGGUAGAGCAACUGACUUGUAAUCAGUAGGUUGGGGGUUCAAAUCCUCUUGCCGGCACCA